UAGGGAAUCUUCGGCAAUGGGGGCAACCCUGACCGAGCAACGCCGCGUGAGUGAAGAAGGUUUUCGGAUCGUAAAGCUCUGUUGUAAGAGAAGAACGUGUGUGAGAGUGGAAAGUUCACACAGUGACGGUAACUUACCAGAAAGGGACGGCUAACUACGUGCCAGCAGCCGCGGUAAUACGUAGGUCCCGAGCGUUGUCCGGAUUUAUUGGGCGUAAAGCGAGCGCAGGCGGUUUAAUAAGUCUGAAGUUAAAGGCAGUGGCUUAACCAUUGUUCGCUUUAGAAACUGUUGAACUUGAGUGCAGAAGAGGAGAGUGGAAGUCCAUGUGUAGCGGUGGAAUGCGUAGAUAUAUGGAGGAGCACCGGUGGCGAAAGCGGCUCUCUGGUCUGUAACUGACGCUGAGGCUUGAAAGCGUGGGGAGCAAACAGG
rnacentral:rRNA from 1 species